rfam:Ovis aries breed Texel chromosome 1, whole genome shotgun sequence.
GGUUAUGAGGGAAAACAGGCAGUGACAUCUGUCAACACAUUGAUUUCCAGGGCUGAUACAGAUGGUCUGAGCUGAUCCCUGCUCUCCCUCACACCCCAUUUGUGUGCCUUCCAAAGCUCCCUGCUCAUCUACAUGGAUGACCUUCUCAAGAGGACCAGUCAUGAAGGGUAUUUAAAGGGUGUAGUCAUUUGCUAUCAUUUCUAAACCUGUUUAUUCAAAGAUCUAUAAAUCUGUAGAACAAAUAGGCAAACUUUGAUUAGGAUGAUUGUGUUU